AGAUUGAACGCUGGCGGCAGGCCUAACACAUGCAAGUCGAGCGGCAGCACGGGUACUUGUACCUGGUGGCGAGCGGCGGACGGGUGAGUAAUGCCUAGGAAUCUGCCUGGUAGUGGGGGAUAACGCUCGGAAACGGACGCUAAUACCGCAUACGUCCUACGGGAGAAAGCAGGGGACCUUCGGGCCUUGCGCUAUCAGAUGAGCCUAGGUCGGAUUAGCUAGUUGGUGAGGUAAUGGCUCACCAAGGCGACGAUCCGUAACUGGUCUGAGAGGAUGAUCAGUCACACUGGAACUGAGACACGGUCCAGACUCCUACGGGAGGCAGCAGUGGGGAAUAUUGGACAAUGGGCGAAAGCCUGAUCCAGCCAUGCCGCGUGUGUGAAGAAGGUCUUCGGAUUGUAAAGCACUUUAAGUGGAGGAAGGCAGUUACCUAAUACGUAUCUGUUUUGACGUUACCGACAGAAUAAGCACCGGCUAACUCUGUG
rnacentral:rRNA from 1 species